ACGCUGGCGGCAGGCCUAACACAUGCAAGUCGAGCGGCAGCGGGAAGUAGCUUGCUACUUUGCCGGCGAGCGGCGGACGGGUGAGUAAUGUCUGGGAAACUGCCUGAUGGAGGGGGAUAACUACUGGAAACGGUAGCUAAUACCGCAUGACGUCGCAAGACCAAAGUGGGGGACCUUCGGGCCUCACGCCAUCGGAUGUGCCCAGAUGGGAUUAGCUAGUAGGUGAGGUAAUGGCUCACCAAGGCGACGAUCCGUAACUGGUCUGAGAGGAUGAUCAGUCACACUGGAACUGAGACACGGUCCAGACUCCUACGGGAGGCAGCAGUGGGGAAUAUUGGACAAUGGGCGAAAGCCUGAUCCAGCCAUGCCGCGUGUGUGAAGAAGGUCUUCGGAUUGUAAAGCACUUUAAGUUGGGAGGAAGGGCAGUUACCUAAUACGUGAUUGUUUUGACGUUACCGACAGAAUAAGCACCGGCUAACUCUGUGCCAGCAGCCGCGGUAAUACAGAGGGUGCAAGCGUUAAUCGGAAUUACUGGGCGUAAAGCGCGCGUAGGUGGUUCGUUAAGUUGGAUGUGAAAUCCCCGGGCUCAACCUGGGAACUGCAUUCAAAACUGACGAGCUAGAGUAUGGUAGAGGGUGGUGGAAUUUCCUGUGUAGCGGUGAAAUGCGUAGAUAUAGGAAGGAACACCAGUGGCGAAGGCGACCACCUGGACUGAUACUGACACUGAGGUGCGAAAGCGUGGGGAGCAAAC
rnacentral:rRNA from 1 species